CAGAAGUCUCGGAAACAGGCCCGGAGAAAUUUGUUUGGCUCGAAGAGGACGAGGAAGGUAAUCCUCUCCCAAAAAGGAGUAGAACGGGGGAGGAGCGCAAACGUGGUUCAUCCACAGAAGCACGGACCCAUCAUGUGCUCCAUCUUCUAGUGGACAACAGAGAAUGACUGGGACCAUUCAAGACAUAGAGUGCUUUUUGCCAGUAAUUCUUCCAUGCUGUGACUGCUCCACUGGGCAGACAACUGUUUCUUCAGGAA